rnacentral:rRNA from 1 species
AACGAACGCUGGCGGCAGGCUUAACACAUGCAAGUCGAGCGCCCCGCAAGGGGAGCGGCAGACGGGUGAGUAACGCGUGGGAAUCUACCCAUCUCUACGGAAUAACGCAUGGAAACGUGUGCUAAUACCGUAUACGUCCUUCGGGAGAAAGAUUUAUCGGAGAUGGAUGAGCCCGCGUUGGAUUAGCUAGUUGGUGGGGUAAAGGCCUACCAAGGCGACGAUCCAUAGCUGGCCUGAGAGGAUGAUCAGCCACACUGGGACUGAGACACGGCCCAGACUCCUACGGGAGGCAGCAGUGGGGAAUAUUGGACAAUGGGCGCAAGCCUGAUCCAGCCAUGCCGCGUGAGUGAUGAAGGCCCUAGGGUUGUAAAGCUCUUUCACCGGUGAAGAUAAUGACGGUAACCGGAGAAGAAGCCCCGGCUAACUUCGUGCCAGCCGCCGCAGUAA